rnacentral:rRNA from 1 species
AACGAACGCUGGCGGCAGGCCUAACACAUGCAAGUCGAGCGGACCUUUCGGGGUCAGCGGCGGACGGGGGAGUAACGCGUGGGAAUAUGCCCUUCUCUACGGAAUAGUCCUGGGAAACUGGGGGUAAUACCGUAUACGCCCUUUGGGGGAAAGAGUUAUCGGGGAAGGAUUAGCCCGCGUUGGAUUAGGUAGUUGGUGGGGUAAUGGCCUACCAAGCCGACGAUCCAUAGCUGGUUUGAGAGGAUGAUCAGCCACACUGGGACUGAGACACGGCCCAGACUCCUACGGGAGGCAGCAGUGGGGAAUCUUAGACAAUGGGGGCAAACCUGAUCUAGCCAUGCCGCGUGAGUGAUGAAGGCCUUAGGGUUGUAAAGCUCUUUCAGCUGGGAAGAUAAUGACGGUACCAGCAGAAGAAGCCCCGGCUAACUCCGUG